rnacentral:rRNA from 1 species
ACUCCUACGGGAGGCAGCAGUGGGGAAUAUUGCACAAUGGGCGCAAGCCUGAUGCAGCCAUGCCGCGUGUGUGAAGAAGGCCUUCGGGUUGUAAAGCACUUUCUAGUUGUGAGGAAGGUUGUGUGGUUAAUACCACAUAAUUUGUACUUUAGCAACAGAAGAAGCACCGGCUAACUCCGUGCCAGCAGCCGCGGUAAGUACGGAGGGUGCGAGCGUUAAUCGGAAUUACUGGGCGUAAAGCGUACGCAGGCGGCUAAUUAAGCCAGAUGUGAAACUCCCGGGCUUAACCGUGGAAUGGCAUUUGGAACUGGUUAGCUAGAGUUUGUAGAGGUGGUAGAAUUUCAGGUGUAGCGGUGAAAUGCGUAGAGAUCUGAAGGAAUACCGAGUGGCGAAGGCGGCACCUGGACAAGAACUGACGCUCAUGUACGAAAGCGUGGGAGCAAACAGGAUUAGAUACCCCGUGGUAGACUGUCA